UACGAAGGGGGCUAGCGUUGCUCGGAAUUACUGGGCGUAAAGCGCACGUAGGCGGUCUUUUAAGUCGGGGGUGAAAUCCUGGAGCUCAACUCCAGAACUGCCUUCGAUACUGGAAGACUUGAGUCCGGGAGAGGUGAGUGGAACUGCGAGUGUAGAGGUGAAAUUCGUAGAUAUUCGCAAGAACACCAGUGGCGAAGGCGGCUUACUGGUCCGGAUCUGACGCUGAGGCGCGAAAGCGAUGGGGAG
rnacentral:rRNA from 1 species